rnacentral:rRNA from 1 species
UGCGUAGGGGGCUAGCGUUGUCCGGAAUCAUUGGGCGUAAAGAGCGUGUAGGCGGCCCGGUAAGUCCGCUGUGAAAGUCGGGGGCUCAACCCUCGAAUGCCGGUGGAUACUGUCGGGCUAGAGUGCGGAAGAGGCGAGUGGAAUUCCUGGUGUAGCGGUGAAAUGCGCAGAUAUCAGGAGGAACACCGAUGCGAAGGCAG